rnacentral:rRNA from 1 species
CUAGCUUGCUAGGUGGAUUAGUGGCGCACGGGUGAGUAACGCAUAGAUAACAUGCCCUUUAGUUUGGGAUAGCCACUAGAAAUGGUGAUUAAUACCAAAUACUACCCUACGGGGGAAAGAUUUAUCGCUAAAGGAUUGGUCUAUGUCCUAUCAGCUUGUUGGUGAGGUAAAGGCUCACCAAGGCGAUGACGGGUAUCCGGCCUGAGAGGGUGAACGGACACACUGGAACUGAGACACGGUCCAGACUCCUACGGGAGGCAGCAGUAGGGAAUAUUGCUCAAUGGGCGCAAGCCUGAAGCAGCAACGCCGCGUGGAGGAUGAAGGUUUUAGGAUUGUAAACUCCUUUUGUCAGAGAAGAUAAUGACGGUAUCUCACGAAUAAGCACAA